rnacentral:lncRNA from 1 species
ACCAUGUAGUAGUUACUUAUUAAACAGAAAGAAUUGUAUGGAGAUUUACUUCCAUAAGUAAGACUACCAUUCUCUGCCAAGAUUGAAACUUUUAUUCAGUGCAUAACUUUUGUAAAUGAAAAAAUGAAUUAUUUUUAACAGGAUGUUUAAGAUUGGUUCUGUAUUGUUUUCAAAGUAUAUGCUCAAAUAACUUAUUUCCUGAAUAUGCCUUUUGAGAAAAUGACCUGUCAAAACAGAUGUUUGCUUUUUAAAUUAUCUCCCUUCGAAACAUAUUUUUUAAUACAAUAAGAUAUAUCCAGUUAAUAUUCUUUAGAGCAAAAGACAUUCAAUUAAGUUAUAUUUCAAAGCUAACCUCUCUGAAGGACAGAGAAUUCACAUCUAAAAACAUGUCCUUGAGUCUAAUCUCUGUAAUUUAUUCAUUGCUAAUCCAGCCCCAUUUGGGGAGAAACAAUAUAUGGUUUAGUAUGGAAUUGUGUGAGAACCUGCUGAAUUCAAAUAUUACCUGAUUGAAACAGUUGAUUUUAUUUCUGUUGUUAAAUGGUAUUCAAGGUUGAACCAAGUAGAUUCCAAAUGUAUGAAGACCAUGCUAUACUUUUUUUCUACUUAGAAUUAAUUAAUUUUUGAAGUCAUUGAAACAUUUGUUCACUUUUUAAGAUGUCUGCCAUCUGACACAUCUUUUGCUGAGUGUUCAGAGACAUGCUUACUUUCUCUUUGUUUUGUGUGAGGAGGUGAAUUCUUUCCCUUUAGCCUGGUUUAUCUGCAUAUGCAGUAAUUAGUUGGGUGGUGAAUUAAAUGAGUUACACCUGAGUUAGUUGAGAGCUUUAAUCUGCUUGCAUGAGUAGGAAAAUUCUAAGCUUUCACUGAACUGAAAACCAAACUCAUUGGCAGGAUAGAGGGUGACAAUGGUUGAAGCUAAUGAGGUUCUGUUGGAAGGGAUUGAAUAAUCAUUUAAAAAUCCAUUCAUGGGCUGAGCUGGCUGUCAGGACAGGGCAUCAUCACACAUAAGAUGCACACUGUGGUUAGUAUAACCCUCUCAGGAGAGUCUACUCCUCAAAACAUCAACAACCAUAUUUUAACAAUAGGAGCAAAUGUAUGACGGACUUGUGUUUCUUAAUCAAACUGAAAUUCUUCUUUUGGCUAACAGUUUCCUGUAUUGGGGGAAAAUGGCUGUUCCAUCUUCUGUUUGUUUCUAAGAGCCAGCAACAAGCUCUUGGCACCAGUAUUCACAUUGGGUUUUCAAACAUUCGGCAAAAAACAUCAAUAGCAUCUGCUCACACCUCAUCACCCUAUCCCACAUUCAUUUGAUGAAUGGCUGUAACUACUUGGGUGAUUAGAUUUUGCACCCUUCAGUAUUCAAACUCAGCACUAUGGCCUAACUUCAGCAUAGUUAGAAAGUUGCUUCAAAACAAUCAAAUUUUGCCUUCAGCCUCACUCACUUGACUCACUCACUUGACUUGACUCACUUGACUAAAUAAUAGAGCCAAAUAUUGUGGACUCCAGUCCUAGCUUCUAUGACUUACUGAAGGACCAUGACAAUUCCUGGAUAGGAUCAAGAGGCCAAGAUUUAAAUCAUGACUCUGUAUGGGCUAGCUUUAAGAUCUUGGUCAAGUACUUUAAGUCUAUUUUUUUUUGAUUUAAAUUAUUUAUUUGCAAACAUUUUAAUCAUCAAAUACACUUAAUCCAUUGUAUUUCUUUUAUAAGAAAAUAAUGAGGAAUUCCUUUCAUGGAGCAGUGGAAACGAAUCUGACUAGGAACCAUGAGGUUGAGGAUUCGACCCCUGGCCUUGCUCAGUUAAGGAUCCGGCGUUGCUGUGAGAUGUGGUGUUGGUUGCAGAUUCGGCUUGGAUCUGGCAUUGCUUUGACUGUGGCGAAAGCCGGCAGCUGUAGCUCUGAUUCAACCCCUAACCUGGGAACCUCUGUAUGCCAUGGAUUGUGGCCCUAAAAAGCAAAAUAGUAAUAAUAAUAAUAAUAAUAAUAAUAAAAACAGGAAUAAAGGAAUAAA